rnacentral:rRNA from 1 species
GCGGCCGCGAUCUCCUAGUGAUUUCUGGUUGAUCCCGGCGGAGGCUACUGCUAUUGGGAUCCGAUUAUUCCCUGCAAGUUGAAUGAAUUUAGAUUCAUGGCGUACGGCUCAGUAACACGUGGAUAACUUACCCUUAGGACUGGGAUAACUCUGGGAAACUGGGGAUAAUACUGGAUAUUAGGCUAUGCCUGGAAUGGUUUGCCUUUGAAAUGUUUUUUCGCCUAAGGAUAGAUCUGCGGCUGAUUAGGUCGUUGGUGGGGUAAUGGCCCACCAAGCCGAUGAUCGGUACGGGUUGUGAGAGCAAGAGCCCGGAGAUGGAACCUGAGACAAGGUUCCAGACCCUACGGGGUGCAGCAGGCGCGAAACCUCCGCAAUGUACGAAAGUGCGACGGGGGGAUCCCAAGUGUCAUGCUUUUUUGUAUGACUUUUCAUUAGUGUAAAAAGCUUUUAGAAUAAGAGCUGGGCAAGACCGGUGCCAGCCGCCGCGGUAACACCGGCAGCUCGAGUGGUAGCUGUUUUUAUUGGGCCUAAAGCGUUCGUAGCCGGUUUGAUAAGUCUUUGGUGAAAGCUUGUACCUUAACCUAUAAAAAUGCUGGAGAUACUAUCAAACUUGAAGUCGGGGAGGGUUAGAGGUACUACCGGGGUAGGGUGAAAUCCUAAAUCCUGGGAGACCCCUGUGGCGAAGCGCCUACUGGACGACUUGAGGUGAGUACGAAGCCAGGCCGCGACCGGAUUAAUACCGGUAAUCCGGCGUAACAUUGGAUUGGGUUGGAUGCUUGAAUUGUCGGGCCAAGGAACUUUAAUCCCCCCGGAAUCGCUCAAAAUACUUCAGAAGGGGGGAGACCACGGGGGCCGGUUUAUGAUCACCGGACUCCAGCGACCGUUAAUGGUUUC